UUUGGAGGGGCCAGUCUGGUGCCAGCAGCCGCGGUAAUUCCAGCUCCAAUAGCGUAUAUUAAAGUUGUUGCAGUUAAAAAGCUCGUAGUUNGAAUUUCGGGGUUAGUAGGUUGGUCAUGCCUCUGGUAUGUACUGGUCUCACUGAUUCCUCCUUCCUUAUGAACCGUAAUGCCAUUAAUUUGGUGUUGCGGGGAAUUUGGACUGUUACUUUGAAAAAAUUAGAGUGUUUAAAGCAGGCUAACGCUUGAAUACAUUAGCAUGGAAUAAUGAAAUAGGACGUUCGAUCUUAUUUUGUUGGUUUCUAGGAUUGACGUAAUGAUUAAUAGGGAUAGUUGGGGGCAUUAGUAUUCAAUUGUCAGAGGUGAAAUUCUUGGAUUUAUUGAAGACUAACUACUGCGAAAGCAUUUGCCAAGGAUGUUUUCAUUAAUCAAGAACGAAAGUUAGGGGAUCGAAGACGAUCAGAUACCGUCGUAGUCUUAACCAUAAACUAUGCCGACUAGGGAUCGGAUGAUGUUAAUUUUUUAAUGACUCAUUCGGCGCCU
rnacentral:rRNA from 1 species